UACAGAGGGUGCGAGCGUUAAUCGGAAUUACUGGGCGUAAAGCGCGCGUAGGCGGCUUUGCAAGUCGGGUGUGAAAUCCCCAGGCUUAACCUGGGAACUGCAUUCGAGACUGCAUUGCUAGAGUAUGGGAGAGGGAAGUGGAAUUUCCGGUGUAGCGGUGAAAUGCGUAGAUAUCAGGAGGAACACCAGCGGCGAAGGCGGCGCUCUGGGCCGGAACUGACGCUGAGGAGCGAAAGCGUGGGUAGCAAACAGG
rnacentral:rRNA from 1 species